rnacentral:rRNA from 1 species
UGAAUACGAGACGCUAAGGCGUCGAAGUAGUGUAUGUCAUACUUCCAAGAAAAGCUUGCACUGUCAUAGAUAAAAAACGCCUGUACCAUAACCGACACAGGUGGGUAGGUAGAGUAUACUAAGGGGCGCGAGAUAACUCUCUCUAAGGAACUCGGCAAAAUAACUCCGUAACUUUGGGAGAAGGAGUGCCUUAUUCGUAAGGUUGCAAUAACAAGAUCCAAGCAACUGUUUAUCAAAAACACAGGUCUCCGCUAAGUCGUAAGACGAUGUAUGGGGGCUGACGCCUGCCCAGUGCCAGAAGGUUAAAGAAGUUGGUUAGCAAUUGCGAAGCUGAUAACUGAAGCCCUGGUGAACGGCGGCCGUAACGAUAACGGUCCUAAGGUAGCGAAAUUCCUUGUCGGGUAAGUUCCGACCCGCACGAAAGGCGUAAUGAUUUGGAUACUGUCUCGGAGAGGGGCUCGGUGAAAUAGACUUGUCUGUGAAGAUGCGGACUACCUGCACCAGGACAGAAAGACCCUAUGAAGCUUUACUGUAACUUGAAAUUGAAAUUGGACUUUAUUCGCGCAGUAUAGGUGGGAGGCGUUGAUUAUAAUCUUGUGGGAUUAUUGGAGCCAUCAGUGAGAUACCACUCUUGUAAUGUUAGAUUUCUAACUUUGAAUCAUUAUCUGGUCAAAGAACAGUUUCAGGCGGGCAGUUUGACUGGGGCGGUCGCCUCCUAAACGGUAACGGAGGCGCACAAAGGUUUCCUCUGAACGGUUAGAAAUCGUAUCUAGAGUGUAAAGGCAUAAGGAAGCUUGACUGUGAGACCUACAAGUCGAGCAGGGACGAAAGUCGGUCUUAGUGAUCUGACGGUACUGAGUGGAAAGGCCGUCACUCAACGGAUAAAAGUUACUCUAGGAUAACAGGCUGAUCUCCCCCAAGAGUUCACAUCGACGGGGAGGUUUGGCACCUCGAUGUCGGCUCAUCGCAUCCUGGGGCGGUAGUACGUCCCAAGGGUUGGGCUGUUCGCCCAUGAAAGCGGUACGCGAGCUGGGUUCAGAACGUCGUGAGACAGUUCGGUCCAUAUCCGGUGUAGGCGUUAGAAUAUUGAGAGGAGCCUUCUUUAGUACGAGAGGACCGAGAAGGACAUACCUCUGGUGUACCAGUUAUCGUGCCAACGGUAAACGCUGGGUAGCUAUGUAUGGAGUGGAUAACCGCUGAAAGCAUCUAAGUGGGAAGCCCACCUCAAGAUAAGUAUUCUCAUCA